CCUGACGUGCAAAAUGCCUCUGGCCCUUAGGUUCUAAGACAGGAUUGUGGGCCUGUGUUACUUUUACAAUCGGCAAACAAACAGAAACAUACGAAAACGGUCAUGAUACUCCUCUACUCAACAGGAUAAGAUGUGUUAAGACGGUUUUUGCUUUGGGUUUUGGUUUUUUUGAGAGAAAGAAAGGGUGCAAAUGAGCCAGGGGCAGAGGGAGGGAGAGAGAAUCCCAGGAGGGGCAGAUGGGGAGAGGGAGAGAGAGAGAGAGGAAGAAGGAAGUGGGGCUCAAGCUCACCUGAUCCAGGGCUGGCACUCAUGAACCGUGAGACCACGACCUGAGCCAAAGUCAGAUGCUUGGCGAUCGAGCCACCCAGGCGUCCAAGGAGGUAUUAUUAAGUAAACACUCACCCAAAAAGUUCUCUCUGAAAACUAAAUUACAAAAAAAAAAAAAAAAGGUAUGGGUAGUCGUCCUAAUCUUAUUUUACAGAUGAGGAAAUAGGUGCUCGGAAGGUUUUGAACCAGAAGUCCCACAGCUGGAGCACGCUGGUGUUGGACGUAGAUCUCAGGUGUUUAUGACCACAGCUCACCCAUCUGAGCCCCACACAUGACUGCCUUCCUGUUUCUGGACUCCAGGCACAGCGCCUGGCAGGGACAGGCAUCUAUGAUGUCACAGGGCUGAACGAAUGAGCACUUUCUUGGCGUGAGGUUAAUUUCAUAGAAGGCCAAGGUCAUCUGAAUUCCAUCUUAAACAGGAAAGAAAGCAAGGUGCAGCUUGGCAGGGCCUAGAUAAGAGCUGAGGCCACUGAUGUAUGUUCGGUUGCAGCCUGGAAACCAUCACGGGGGAUGACAUAAACCACCGUCCGCGUACGAUGCUUUAUAGGUUGUGUGGACACGGGCUCCGGAGCCAGACCCCUUGGGUUCCGAUCCACGUUCACCAUUCAUUAGUUGCAAGGCAUGCAUUUUCCCUUGGGCAACAUCAGAUGAGAACAGCAUUUCAUUUGCAUCGCAGGGGAGACGGACAGACAAACAGAAAGCAGAGAGACAAACAGAAAAUCAGAGGCAGCAUCGUGCUUGGACACCUCCAAGGUAUGUGGGUCAUCGUUAGACGCUGUGGGCACCGUCACCAUUCUUGA
rnacentral:lncRNA from 1 species